UGAGGAGUCCUCUUUGUGUCGGAGAAGGGUCUGCAGCUCAGUAAUGCUGCCACUCAUUCUGGAUACCUUCAGACAAGAGACAUCUAUGUCAACAUACAUAUACAGUCAAACGUUGGACUAAAGUCAGCCCUGGUCUAGAUGUUCUUCACCUCCUGGAGAAGCUCCUGAAGAUGCUCAUCCUGACUCAGGUUCCCAUGUAGUCGUCUCUCCAGUGAAGUUACUUUCUUCUGAAGGUCCAACAACACCCGCUCCUUGUCCUCCUCCGUUACAGCAGCCUAAUGCUUCAGGGCAUCCUGGUCAGUCUGCAAAUCAUGGAGGGACUUCUCUAAAGCUGACACCAUACUCUGUGACUGAAAAGCCGAAUUGCCCACACUUGCAUGACCAAAAACGUGCCUUGACAAAUGAUCAAUGA